UUGACCUCGAAUCAGGUAGGAAUACCCGCUGAACUUAAGCAUAUCAAUAAGCGGAGGAA
rnacentral:rRNA from 16 species